rnacentral:tRNA from 1 species
GUUGUCGUGGCUGAGUGGUUAAGGCGAUGGGCUAGAAAUCUUUUGGGAUCUUCCCGCGCAGUUUCGAAUCCUGCCGACAUCG